rnacentral:rRNA from 1 species
CGGAGGGAUCAUUAAAGAGUUCUAUAACUCCCAAACCCAUGUGAACAUACCAGACGUUGCCUCGGCAGGUCGCACCUACCUCGUAGCACCCUACCCUGUAAGGCCUACCCGGGACGUGCGGGUAAGCCUGCCGGCGGCCCAUUAAACUCUGUUUGAUAUUGAAUUCUGAACCUAUAACUAAAUAAGUUAAAACUUUCAACAACGGAUCUCUUGGUUCUGGCAUCGAUGAAGAACGCAGCGAAAUGCGAUAAGUAAUGUGAAUUGCAGAAUUCAGUGAAUCAUCGAAUCUUUGAACGCAUAUUGCGCCCAUUAGUAUUCUAGUGGGCAGGACCGUUCGAGCGUCAUUUCGACCCUUAAGCCUUAGUUGCUUAGUGUUGGGAGCCUACGGCGACGUAGCUCCCCAAAGUUAGUGGCGGAGUUGGUUCACACUCUAGACGUAGUAAUUUUUUAUCUCGCCUAUUAGUUGGACCGAUCCCCUGCCGUAAAACCCCCAACUUCUCAAGGUUGACCUCGAAUCGGUUCAGACAAACUCGCUAAAUUGAAGCAUCUUAGUCAGCGAAGGAAAAGAAACCAACAGGGAUUGCCCUAGUAACGGCGAGUGAAGCGGCAACAGCUCAAAUUUGAAAUCUGGCCCUCGGGUCCGAGUUGUAAUUUGUAGAGGAUGCUUUUGGCGCGGUGCCUUCCGAGUUCCCUGGAACG